GGGCCUGUAGCUCAGUGGUAGAGCGCCCGCUUUGCAUGCGGGAGGUCCAGGAUUCGAUCUCCUGCCGGUCCA
rfam:Coniosporium apollinis CBS 100218 chromosome Tnknown supercont1.17, whole genome shotgun sequence.